UUAAGCGACUAAGCGUACACGGUGGAUGCCCUGGCAGUCAGAGGCGAUGAAGGACGUGCUAAUCUGCGAUAAGCGUCGGUAAGGUGAUAUGAACCGUUAUAACCGGCGAUUUCCGAAUGGGGAAACCCAGUGUGUUUCGACACACUAUCAUUAACUGAAUCCAUAGGUUAAUGAGGCGAACCGGGGGAACUGAAACAUCUAAGUACCCCGAGGAAAAGAAAUCAACCGAGAUUCCCCCAGUAGCGGCGAGCGAACGGGGAGCAGCCCAGAGCCUGAAUCAGUGUGUGUGUUAGUGGAAGCGUCUGGAAAGGCGCGCGAUACAGGGUGACAGCCCCGUACACAAAAAUGCACAUGCUGUGAGCUCGAUGAGUAGGGCGGGACACGUGGUAUCCUGUCUGAAUAUGGGGGGACCAUCCUCCAAGGCUAAAUACUCCUGACUGACCGAUAGUGAACCAGUACCGUGAGGGAAAGGCGAAAAGAACCCCGGCGAGGGGAGUGAAAAAGAACCUGAAACCGUGUACGUACAAGCAGUGGGAGCACGCUUAGGCGUGUGACUGCGUACCUUUUGUAUAAUGGGUCAGCGACUUAUAUUCUGUAGCAAGGUUAACCGAAUAGGGGAGCCGAAGGGAAACCGAGUCUUAACUGGGCGUUAAGUUGCAGGGUAUAGACCCGAAACCCGGUGAUCUAGCCAUGGGCAGGUUGAAGGUUGGGUAACACUAACUGGAGGACCGAACCGACUAAUGUUGAAAAAUUAGCGGAUGACUUGUGGCUGGGGGUGAAAGGCCAAUCAAACCGGGAGAUAGCUGGUUCUCCCCGAAAGCUAUUUAGGUAGCGCCUCGUGAAUUCAUCUCCGGGGGUAGAGCACUGUUUCGGCAAGGGGGUCAUCCCGACUUACCAACCCGAUGCAAACUGCGAAUACCGGAGAAUGUUAUCACGGGAGACACACGGCGGGUGCUAACGUCCGUCGUGAAGAGGGAAACAACCCAGACCGCCAGCUAAGGUCCCAAAGUCAUGGUUAAGUGGGAAAACGAUGUGGGAAGGCCCAGACAGCCAGGAUGUUGGCUUAGAAGCAGCCAUCAUUUAAAGAAAGCGUAAUAGCUCACUGGUCGAGUCGGCCUGCGCGGAAGAUGUAACGGGGCUAAACCAUGCACCGAAGCUGCGGCAGCGACGCUGAUGCGUUGUUGGGUAGGGGAGCGUUCUGUAAGCCUGCGAAGGUGUGCUGUGAGGCAUGCUGGAGGUAUCAGAAGUGCGAAUGCUGACAUAAGUAACGAUAAAGCGGGUGAAAAGCCCGCUCGCCGGAAGACCAAGGGUUCCUGUCCAACGUUAAUCGGGGCAGGGUGAGUCGACCCCUAAGGCGAGGCCGAAAGGCGUAGUCGAUGGGAAACAGGUUAAUAUUCCUGUACUUGGUGUUACUGCGAAGGGGGGACGGAGAAGGCUAUGUUGGCCGGGCGACGGUUGUCCCGGUUUAAGCGUGUAGGCUGGUUUUCCAGGCAAAUCCGGAAAAUCAAGGCUGAGGCGUGAUGACGAGGCACUACGGUGCUGAAGCAACAAAUGCCCUGCUUCCAGGAAAAGCCUCUAAGCAUCAGGUAACAUCAAAUCGUACCCCAAACCGACACAGGUGGUCAGGUAGAGAAUACCAAGGCGCUUGAGAGAACUCGGGUGAAGGAACUAGGCAAAAUGGUGCCGUAACUUCGGGAGAAGGCACGCUGAUAUGUAGGUGAAGCGACUUGCUCGUGGAGCUGAAAUCAGUCGAAGAUACCAGCUGGCUGCAACUGUUUAUUAAAAACACAGCACUGUGCAAACACGAAAGUGGACGUAUACGGUGUGACGCCUGCCCGGUGCCGGAAGGUUAAUUGAUGGGGUCAGCGCAAGCGAAGCUCUUGAUCGAAGCCCCGGUAAACGGCGGCCGUAACUAUAACGGUCCUAAGGUAGCGAAAUUCCUUGUCGGGUAAGUUCCGACCUGCACGAAUGGCGUAAUGAUGGCCAGGCUGUCUCCACCCGAGACUCAGUGAAAUUGAACUCGCUGUGAAGAUGCAGUGUACCCGCGGCAAGACGGAAAGACCCCGUGAACCUUUACUAUAGCUUGACACUGAACAUUGAGCCUUGAUGUGUAGGAUAGGUGGGAGGCUUGGAAGUGUGGACGCCAGUCUGCAUGGAGCCGACCUUGAAAUACCACCCUUUAAUGUUUGAUGUUCUAACGUGGACCCGUAAUCCGGGUUGCGGACAGUGUCUGGUGGAUAGUUUGACUGGGGCGGUCUCCUCCUAAAGAGUAACGGAGGAGCACGAAGGUUGGCUAAUCCUGGUCGGACAUCAGGAGGUUAGUGCAAUGGCAUAAGCCAGCUUGACUGCGAGCGUGACGGCGCGAGCAGGUGCGAAAGCAGGUCAUAGUGAUCCGGUGGUUCUGAAUGGAAGGGCCAUCGCUCAACGGAUAAAAGGUACUCCGGGGAUAACAGGCUGAUACCGCCCAAGAGUUCAUAUCGACGGCGGUGUUUGGCACCUCGAUGUCGGCUCAUCACAUCCUGGGGCUGAAGUAGGUCCCAAGGGUAUGGCUGUUCGCCAUUUAAAGUGGUACGCGAGCUGGGUUUAGAACGUCGUGAGACAGUUCGGUCCCUAUCUGCCGUGGGCGCUGGAGAACUGAGGGGGGCUGCUCCUAGUACGAGAGGACCGGAGUGGACGCAUCACUGGUGUUCGGGUUGUCAUGCCAAUGGCACUGCCCGGUAGCUAAAUGCGGAAGAGAUAAGUGCUGAAAGCAUCUAAGCACGAAACUUGCCCCGAGAUGAGUUCUCCCUGACCCUUUAAGGGUCCUGAAGGAACGUUGAAGACGACGACGUUGAUAGGCCGGGUGUGUAAGCGCAGCGAUGCGUUGAGCUAACCGGUACUAAUGAACCGUGAGGCUUAACCUU
rnacentral:rRNA from 1 species